CCUACGGGUGGCAGCAGUGAGGAAUAUUGGUCAAUGGUCGAGAGCCUGAACCAGCCAAGUCGCGUGAAGGAUGACUGCCCUACGGGUUGUAAACUUCUUUUGUCAGGGAACAAAUUGUUCCACGCGUGGGCUUAUGGAUGUACCUUAAGAAAAAGGAUCGGCUAACUCCGUGCCAGCAGCCGCGGUAAUACGGAGGAUUCGAGCGUUAUCCGGAUUUAUUUGGGUUAAAGGGUGCGGAGGUGGGCUGUUAAGUCAGGGGGUAAAGGUUGGGGGCCAACCCCCGUCGUGCCGUUGAAACUGGCAGUCUGGAGUGGGAGAGAAGUAUGCGGAAUGCGCGGUGUAGCGGUGAAAUGCAUAGAUAUCGCGAAGAACUCCGAUUGCGAAGGCAGCAUGCCGG
rnacentral:rRNA from 1 species